rnacentral:tRNA from 1 species
GGGGGGUGGAUCGGAUGGAUCACGUGGACUCUAAAUUCGCGCAGGCGGGUGAAACUCCCGUACUCCCCGCCA